ACUUUGAUUUCUCUGCACCCCCACCCACCGAGGGGUCAAAAGAGGCAGAACAAAAGGACCUGGGGGUACAACUGUCUCCUGAUUCUCUAACAGGCCUCCUAAGGAUGUUCCCGGAUAUAGUGGGAUUGCAGUUUGAAUAGGAAUGAAGCAAGUGGGCUGAUCGCAAACCGUAGUAUCUUUUGUAUUCUGAAGUCUUUUAUGUCUUCCUUAGAAUUAUUCAUUCACA
rnacentral:misc_RNA from 1 species